GUGGGGAAUAUUGGACAAUGGGCGAAAGCCUGAUCCAGCCAUGCCGCGUGUGUGAAGAAGGUCUUCGGAUUGUAAAGCACUUUAAGUUGGGAGGAAGGGCAGUAAGUUAAUACCUUGCUGUUUUGACGUUACCGACAGAAUAAGCACCGGCUAACUUCGUGCCAGCAGCCGCGGUAAUACGAAGGGUGCAAGCGUUAAUCGGAAUUACUGUGCGUAAAGCGCGCGUAGGUGGUUUUGUAAGUUGGAGGAGAAAUCCCCGGGCUCAACCUGGGAACUGCCUCCAAAACUACUGAGCUAGAGUACGGUAGAGGGUAGUGGAAUUUCCUGUGUAGCGGUGAAAUGCGUAGAUAUAGGAAGGAACACCAGUGGCGAAGGCGACUACCUGGACUGAUACUGACACUGGGGUGCGAAAGCGUGGGGAGCAAACAGGAUUAGAUACCCGAGUAGUCC
rnacentral:rRNA from 1 species